AAGUCGUAACAAGGUUUCCGUAGGUGAACCUGCGGAAGGAUCAUUAACAAAUCAUGUUUGUGCCGGCCGAAAGGUUGGCACGAAAUUAGCGCUCUGCCGUCCAUCUGGAUGGCAUUGUGUGCUCCGGGAGACAAGAUGUCAAGUCUUUGUCUUCCGGCGCUGGGUCUUCGGAUCCAACAUAGACGAUUGUAUUGUUUGACAGAGUUUUAUUAUGACAAAUAAUAAAAGACAACUUUUAACAAUGGAUCUCUUGGCUCUU
rnacentral:misc_RNA from 1 species